CUCUGUGACUCCUACGGGAGGCAGCAGUGGGGGAAUAUUGCACAAUGGGCGCAAGCCUGAUGCAGCAACGCCGUGUGAGUGAAGAAGGUUUCGGAUCGUAAAACUCUGUCCUAAGGGAAGAAACAAAUGACGGUACCUUAGGAGGAAGCCCCGGCUAACUACGUGCCAGCAGCCGCGGUAAUACGUAGGGGGCAAGCGUUAUCCGGAAUCACUGGGCGUAAAGGGUGCGUAGGCGGCUUAGCAAGCCAGGGGUGAAAGGCAUUGGCUCAACCAAUGUAAGCCUUUGGAACUGUUAAGCUUGAGUGCAGGAGAGGUAAGUGGAAUUCCUAGUGUAGAGGUGAAAUUCGUAGAUAUUAGGAGGAACACCAGUGGCGAAGGCGACUUACUGGACUGUAACUGACGCUGAUGCACGAAAGCGUGGGUAGCGAACAGGAUUAGAUACCCUGGGAG
rnacentral:rRNA from 1 species